rnacentral:rRNA from 1 species
UACGAAGGGUGCAAGCGUUACUCGGAAUUACUGGGCGUAAAGCGUGCGUAGGUGGUUUGUUAAGUCUGUUGUGAAAGCCCCGGGCUCAACCUGGGAAUGGCAAAUGGACUACUGGCAAGCUAGAGUGCGGUAGAGGGUAGUGGAAUUCCCGGUGUAGCGGUGAAAUGCGUAGAGAUCGGGAGGAACACCAGUGGCGAAGGCGGCUACCUGGACCAGCACUGACACUGAGGCACGAAAGCGUGGGGAGCAAACAGG